rnacentral:rRNA from 1 species
AGUGAACGCUGGCGGCAUGCCUAACACAUGCAGGUCGAACGGUAACAGGCCCGCAAGGGUGCUGACGAGUGGCGGACGGGUGAGGAAUACAUCGGAAUCUGCCCGGUCGUGGGGGAUAACGUAGGGAAACUUACGCUAAUACCGCAUGAGACCGAGAGGUGAAAGCGGGGGAUCGCAAGACCUCGCGCGACUGGAUGAGCCGAUGUCGGAUUAGCUAGGUUGGGGGAA